CUCCCCAUCAGAAUCACCGGCAAGUGACCUGAACGCUUCGAUUUCAGAAGCGUAACUUUUCCCAAUUUGAUUCGAUACCUUAUUCUCUCCCUCCUCUGCGGCCUCAGCAAGCUGUGCAGGAACUUCCAAAGAGGUCAAAUGAACUACAUUUCCAUCGUUAUCAACUUCGUUCACUAUAAAAUCGGAGUAUCUUUGCUUGAGAAUCCCGCGAAAGCCAGGGAGUUGAGAGAUAUAGCAUAAGAU
rnacentral:misc_RNA from 1 species